UACGUAGGGUGCAAGCGUUGUCCGGAAUUAUUGGGCGUAAAGAGCUCGUAGGCGGUGUGUCGCGUCGGCCGUGAAAACCUGCAGCUUAACUGUGGGCGUGCGGUCGAUACGGGCAUCACUGGAGUUCGGCAGGGGAGACUGGAAUUCCUGGUGUAGCGGUGAAAUGCGUAGAUAUCAAGAGGAACACCAGUGGCGAAGGCGAGUCCCUGGACAACACCCGACACUGAGGCACGAAAGCUAGGGGAGCAAACAGG
rnacentral:rRNA from 1 species